AGGACGCCUGAAGCACCGUCCUGGGGCACACGGUCCAUUUCGUCUCUGGGGGAGAUGACUGACUGCGGAGCAAGUGGAUGUGCUUUCAAAGCCCUGGUAGAUGUAAGCCUUAGGGAGUCCUGGGCUGUCCAGAUGCCUCCUCCCGUUAUCCUUAGGGCAGGUAUCCCGACAGAUCUUUGCCAGUCUGGAACUUUAUAGCCCCAAUUUUUUGCUUGCUAAUUUCUUACCAUCAGAGAGGCCAGACUAUGCAUGCCAUGGAGAAGACGAGGGUCUGUGUUUCAAGUGGAAGUGCUGUCAAGCUGCACAAGUAGCAAGUGUGAUCUGUGUGCAAUGCCCUGCUUGUGGCUAUUGAAACCCCGCUGAAGAGAGAGCACUGCUACGGCUUGCACAUUGCUGAGGGAAAUUCUCUUUCCUGUGGCAAGAGGAGAGAUCCCAACACACGGUGGAGCUAGAUGAUGGCAUAUUGUGUGCCCAAGUACAAAGGUAUUCUGAUAAAACAGGAUUAGGGACUAGCUUCCUUUUCUCAGAGUCGGCCUCUUAGGCUAAUUUACUGCUUAUCCUGCCUUAGUCUGGGUUCUGCAGUUGGUCUAGAUUAUGGAAUAGUGCUGCCUCAAGCCACUGGGAAUACAGCAGUGAACAUGUCUGUUGCCACUGACAGCAAUUGCUUUGAAGUUAGGGGAGAGGGGGUCACAAAUCUUGAUAGCAUGUCUAUCUUCUCCAUCAGGAACAUCUCAGCCCCAGUGGAAAUGUAAAAUCUCCCCAAGAGCUGUAGCAUAACAGGGCUUCAUGCAUCCUCCUUGGAUGAACAUGGGAGAGCUAUGGAGUGAAGUCAAUGCGAAGAUGGGAGCUUGUGCCUUUUAAGAAAUGGGAAGCUCUGCUGAAACCCACUUACCCCUGGUUUUAGCCUCUUUGGUCAUCUUCCUGUUUAAAGGACAGGAGGUGCUAAAGCCCAGCUCCUCCUUUGUAGGGGCCUACAUUCCACUCUAGCCAGGUACUCAGAUACACUGGAGGAUUUUGACCCAAGAGCUAAGGAUUUUGCAGCUGAUUUCUCAUGUGGGACAUAGGCAGGAGCAUAUGGCAUUAACACCUCAAUAACUCAGCUGGCAAAAGUGGUCUUAGCCCAGGAAGUUUUUCUGUUUUCUUUCCAUCUUUAGCAGUUGAUGGGAGAAGCAGGUGGUUUACCAGUUGGUCAUGCUCACUUUGUAAACUUCGUUCCUCUUCCACAUCAAGUCAUUCAUGACACUUGGCCUUUGAUUCAUCAUCACCUUCUCAUUCUGGAAAACUCAAAUGGCCCCUGGACCCAACAGAGGGGAACCACCGAGCUGCCUGGAUGCUGAACUGCGGUGGCAGAUGCUUAAACAGGAGACAUCCCUUAUUAGACUGGCUGCUACCAGCUUUCCCCACAAACCUCAUCUCACCCAUGUCCUUAGACUGCCACAGCAUCACUGCUGCAGCAUCCCUGCUGUACCUGGGAGAGGGGGCAAGUGCCUGCAGGAGAGGCUCUGCAGAGGGAGAGGGAGCCCAGGUGCACCGGAGCCAUCUUCCCACCGAAACUGCCCAGGCGGCUGUGACUGAAAUUUAAUUUGCCUGGUGUAUUCAGUGGACAUUUUAAUCAGCGUUUCCUACAAUCUACUUGGCAAAGAGGCUCAACUGGCAGCUGCCUGACUGAAUGGGCUUUGCACCCAGUCUAACCUUCUCCAUUCGUAAUUUCCAGUGCUGGAAAACCUUUCUGUCUCACUCUCAGAAGUUUCUAUAGCAAUCACGGCCAUCCUAGUGAAGCACUGAAAAUGGCAGCCUAUUCAGAUUGUAAUUUCGCUGGACAGUAAUUGCUCCUCUCUCCAGUGGCCUCUGAAAUGUUACUUUUCAGGAGGUAGCAACUGCAACUGAAGGAGACUGGUCCUCUGCCUAUGUUUUCAACAAAUUUCACUCUCCACCCCAACUAACUUUGUUAGCUGUUUGCAACAUGUUUGAACUUUGACUAUCAGGAAGAGAUGUUGGGCACAUCAUACCUCGGCUACAGGAAAGACCUGACAUAAGCAAUGCUCUUAAGCCUGCAGGAAAAAAACUUCACCACCCAACACAUCAUGUUAUGACCUGUACAUUAUCCAUCAGUGUAGGCAGAAAAAGUUACACAAGUGUGUUUGGCUUUGUUAAUUGUAAAAUACCAGAGGAUACAAAGAAAGCCUUUUCCUUCAUGUCAGUGAGCUUACUUGUCUUGGUUCAGUUAACUUCAGCUUAAACAAUCGCUUGAUCUUUUGUUCCUUGCUUCAUCUCUCACUGGCUGUGGUCGCUCUUAAUUAUUGUGACACUGAAGAGCCUAGUGCUAAAAAUAUAUUAAGUAACAGAAUGAAAGGUUUUGCUCCUUGCAAGAGGAUGCGGUAGAAUUGUACCACAGCUUGUGAAGGAGCUGAUCAACCGUUCCUUAAACUCUUCUAAUAAUCUUUCCCUAUACUUUUAUGGCUAUUGUUGCCUGCUGGAAAAAUUAGCUUAAAGCUGAGUAAGGGGAAUUGUGGAUAAGUGUUUGCAAUUUGGCUUUGGACUGACACAGUGUGAUUGCACUCAAAGAAUUUGAAGUCUUUGCACUGGCAGCAGUAAUUGAAUCUGGGAAUAUAGGAUUCGCAUUGGAAAAGAGUGGAUUUUUAUAACGAUUUAAAUGAACAAUUUCAGCUACAGAGUGGAUUAGCAGAGCCAACUAAACUCUUCACCCUGACAAAGAACUGGCGGGAGGACUAUAGAAACUCAUCCAGAAUUUUACCAACAUGAAUGCAGAGUAAUAGAUCAAAAGCAACAACAGCACGAAGGCAUCUCUGAUCCCUCCGGAGACCUUUGGAGGGCUGUCUUGUUAUACCCAAACUACUGCAAUUGUUCCCUCAAUCUGUGCAAAGUACUGUUCAGUCUGCAUUUCUGUAAGCCGAGAGAGAGUACGCUGAAAGGCAAAGAUUUCCUCUUCUCCUGUGAACAUGGAGAGUCCUUUGGCGGAAUCCUACAUUAAUAAAGAAAAACAACACCACAGAACUAACUGUGAGAGACAUAGCUGUACCGAAGUGCAUCCUACCCAACUCCUAAAGCUGAGUGCUUCACAGGCUUUAAUGAUACAAGACAGUAGCAUAGCACCAAAACCCUGAAAUUUAAGUCCAAAUAUUAAAGGAAAACACCUAUUUCAGCUAGGAACAAACUUUGGAGAGGAGCCACUGCAGAACAAAUAAUACGCACCUGAGAGAAGGAAAAGAGGCAACAAUGUCAUCACUUGGACUUUGGAGAAAAUGGAUAAAAAUACAUGUUUUAUGGAAAGCAAGCUUCAAAUCAUGACCUUGGUUUUUUCAAGCCACUGCUAUGGACUUCUUAACCAGAAACCAAGAAGACAGUCAUUUUGAGAGCCAACAACAGCUUCACGCAUCACCUCUGAAAAACAUCAGCCCUGAUAAAACACUUAUCUGGACAAAGAGUAGCUGAAAUCAAAAUGUUCUAAUGAGAUAAAGCAUGAAAAUAUUCAAGAAAGUGAAAGGAACUGCUGGAUGGAAACAUCACAGAGCUAGCCCACCGCAUCUCUCAACAUCAGAUAGCAAUAGGUAGCUGGACAAUAAUCCCAUUAAGUGCAAAAGAAAACAAUGGAAGCACUAAAAACAGCACCACAACUAGGAUACUGCUGGAGAUUUUAAGAUUGGUGGUAAGCAAACAGUUUAUGUAACUGUAAUUUUUAUUCAGUACUUAGGAGUGAAGUACUGUUAAGUACAGAAGAGAUCAAGUACACCAGUGUGCUGAGUACCUGAGAGGGACAGCAGCAGUGAUUUAAUUGCAUGCAGGAAAGGAAAUAAUUUCUCAUGUCCCUCCUUAGGUAAGAAAUUACAGGUAUCACCACUAUUCAGGUUCAUUCUUUUAUCACAUGGAGAUCCCAGCCACCCUUCUGCCAAAGCCUGUGGAAUUAUUCUGUGAUAUACUUUCUCACCCAAACCAUAUAAAUACACCCCAUUUCUGGGGAGGUAUCAAGUAUUAAAAGUUGAUCCCUAAAAUAAAUAAAUAAAAAUCAAAGACUUCAAACUUUAGCAAAAUCCACAAACUGAAGCACCCAACCACUGAGCUAUACAUCUAGGAACUUCAUGGGUACCUUAGUCAAUAUCCAAACAUCAAAAUUGAAAACCUGGGGAGUCAGAGGGAGGAAACAGGUGGAGAACAAAAAGCAAAUGCAUUUCAAAUGCGAAGAAAGGAAGAUGGAAUACUCCUUUUGCUUUUAUGCAGACAUAAACCCACGGUUCAUUGAGGAUUACAGUAUGUAUCUUUAUCAUAGCCGAACAACCUACUUCAGCUGUGCAAAAAGCAGGCAAUUAAAAAAUUCCUCCAAUUAGGGGCAUAAACAGCAGGUAACUCCAAGCUGUUUAACAAGAAUUUCAGUAAUACCUACACCAGUGCUAAGUAGUAAUAUUCUGUAAAUGUUGUCACAAACGUGCCUUUGGAGAUUCCCAAAUCUUGUAAGAAAUAUCUGAGGCCAGCAGCCAUAAGUAUUUUAAUAGGAUAACUCUGUACCUCCCUACCAAGACUCUAGUCUGGUGACAUGCAAUGGAAACUCUGAGUCAGACAGUCUGUUAUAUGCAGCUCAGCUGGCAUCAGCUGUAGCUCUUUCCAUAGAGGAGUUCUCAAACUCUCCUUUUAAAGUUAGAAAGAAAUAACCCUGCAGAUGAAGUUUAGACUGAUUCAUCUGGUUUUCUGAACAACAUUCUAAAAAUAACAGCUAGAUGGUGUGUUUCUGGUACUGUCUCAUCUUUUUUCUUCCACCAAUUACCAUCAAAACUCAACUUCAGAACUGUAACACUUUUAUGUAACAAUAGUCACCAUUUGUUACCGGUUCUUUCAUGAUGCAAUUUUAAUAAAAAACCAAAAACCCCAAACCAA